GACGAACGCUGGCGGCGUGCUUAACACCUGCAAGUCGAACGGAAAGGCCCUGCUUGCAGGGCACUCUAUUGGAGAACGGAUGAGUAACACGAGGGUGAUCUGCCCUGCACUUCGGGAUAAGCAUGGGAAACCAGGUCUAACACCGGCUAGGAGCCACUCUAAGGACGGUGGUGGGAAAGAGUUUUCGUUGUAGGAUGAGCUCGCGGCCUAUCAGCUUGUUGGUGGGGUAAUGGCCUACCAAGGCGGCGACGGGUAGCCGGCCUGAGAGGGUGGACGGCCACAUUGGGACUGAGAUACGGCCCAGACUCCUACGGGAGGCAGCAGUGGGGAAUAUUGCACAAUGGGCGCAAGCCUGAUGCAGCGACGCCGCGUGGGGGAUGACGGCCUUCGGGUUGUAAACUCCUUUCGCUAGGGACGAAGCUUUUUGUGACGGUACCUAGAUAAGAAGCACGGGCUAACUACGUG
rnacentral:rRNA from 1 species